UACGUAGGUGGCAAGCGUUGUCCGGAAUUAUUGGGCGUAAAGCGCGCGCAGGCGGUCCUUUAAGUCUGAUGUGAAAGCCCACGGCUCAACCGUGGAGGUCAUUGGAAACUGGGGGACUUGAGUGCAGAAGAGGAAAGCGGAAUUCCACGUGUAGCGGUGAAAUGCGUAGAGAAUGUGGAGGAACACCAGUGGCGAAGGCGGCUCUCUGGGACGGUACUGACGCUGAGACGCGAAAGCGUGGGGAGCGAACAGG
rnacentral:rRNA from 1 species